UACUUUUCAAAACUGGUUCGGU
rnacentral:siRNA from 1 species